UACACCAUUUGAAAGACAAUAGGUCACACUUGCAUCAAAACUUUCCCAAAGCCUAAAUUAUUGUUCCUAAUUAGCAUGGCUUUGCUUAAGAUGGGUUUUGUUUUCACUGUUCUUCUCAUAGCAGCUACGAUUAAUAUGGCAUGGUUCUCUGAGACGCAUCUUGUGGUUGCAAGAAAUGUUGCUCGUGAUCUCUCAGGAGUUGAGAGAAGACUGCUCCCACAA